AGUGAACGCUGGCGGUAGGCCUAACACAUGCAAGUCGAACGGCAGCACAGUAAGAGCUUGCUCUUACGGGUGGCGAGUGGCGGACGGGUGAGGAAUACAUCGGAAUCUACUUUUUCGUGGGGGGUAACGUAGGGAAACUUACGCUAAUACCGCAUACGACCUACGGGUGAAAGCAGGGGAUCUUCGGACCUUGCGCGAUUGAAUGAGCCGAUGUCGGAUUAGCUAGUUGGCGGGGUAAAGGCCCACCAAGGCGACGAUCCGUAGCUGGUCUGAGAGGAUGAUCAGCCACACUGGAACUGAGACACGGUCCAGACUCCUACGGGAGGCAGCAGUGGGGAAUAUUGGACAAUGGGCGCAAGCCUGAUCCAGCUAUACCGCGUGGGUGAAGAAGGCCUUCGGGUUGUAAAGCCCUUUUGUUGGGAAAGAAAAGCAGCAGGUUAAUACCCCGCUGUUCUGACGGUACCCAAAGAAUAAGCACCGGCUAACUUCGUG
rnacentral:rRNA from 1 species